rnacentral:tRNA from 1 species
GGUUAUGUAGUUCAAUUAGGUAGAACAAUAGACAUUUAAAAUUCGUGGGUUCGAAUCCCACUAUCUG